rnacentral:tRNA from 1 species
GGGCCAGUAGCUCAGUUAGUAGAGCGCCACAUUCGCAUUGUGGAGGUCAGGGGUGCGAGACCCCUCUGGUCCA